GUGGGGAAUUUUGCGCAAUGGGCGAAAGCCUGACGCAGCAACGCCGCGUGAGUGAUGAAGGCCUUCGGGUCGUAAAGCUCUGUCAGAGGGGAAGAACCGCCAUAUGGCUAAUAUCCAUGUGGUCUGACGGUACCCUCAAAGGAAGCACCGGCUAACUCCGUGCCAGCAGCCGCGGUAAUACGGAGGGUGCAAGCGUUGUUCGGAAUUAUUGGGCGUAAAGCGCGUGUAGGCGGUCUGUUAAGUCUGGUGUGAAAGCCCCGGGCUCAACCCGGGAAGUGCAUUGGAUACUGACAGACUUGAGUACGGGAGAGGAGAGUGGAAUUCCCAGUGUAGGGGUGAAAUCCGUAGAUAUUGGGAGGAACACCGGUGGCGAAGGCGGCUCUCUGGACCGAUACUGACGCUGAGACGCGAAAGCGUGGGGAGCAAACAGGAUUAGAAACCCGUGUAGUCC
rnacentral:rRNA from 1 species